GGGCCCGUAGCUUAGCCUGGUUAGAGCAUUGGUCUUAUAAGCCAAAGGUCGUCAGUUCAAAUCUGAUCGGGCCCA
rnacentral:tRNA from 1 species